rnacentral:rRNA from 1 species
UACGUAGGGUGCGAGCGUUAAUCGGAAUUACUGGGCGUAAAGCGUGCGCAGGCGGUUCGUUAAGUUCGUUGUGAAAGCCCCGGGCUCAACCUGGAAUGGCAAUGGAAACUGGCGGGCUGGAGUGUGGCAGAGGGGGGUGGAAUUCCGCGUGUAGCAGUGAAAUGCGUAGAGAUGCGGAGGAACACCGAUGGCGAAGGCAGCCCCCUGGGCCGACACUGACGCUCAGGCACGAAAGCGUGGGGAGCAAACAGG